rnacentral:rRNA from 1 species
CCUACGGGAGGCAGCAGUGGGGAAUCUUCCGCAAUGGGCGAAAGCCUGACGGAGCAACGCCGCGUGAGUGAAUGAAGGCCUCCGGGUUGUAAAGAUCUGUUGACAGGGACGAAUAAGCCAUGCGAAUAGGUUGGUGUAUGACGGUACCUGUUUAGAAAGCUCCGGCUAACUACGUGCCAGCAGCCGCGGUAAUACGGAGGGAGCAAGCGUUGUCCGGAAUUACUGGGCGUAAAGGGCGCGUAGGUGGGUGCUUAAGUCAGGUGUGAAAACUCUGGGCUCAACCUGGAGACUGCACUUGAAACUGGGUAUCUUGAGGGCAGGAGAGUAAAGUGGAAUGCCUGGUGUAGCGGUGAAAUGCGUAGAUAUUAGGAGGAACACCAGUGGCGAAGGCGACUUUCUGGACUGUACCUGACGCUGAGGCGCGAAAGCGUGGGUAGCGAACGGGAUUAGAUACCCGAGUAGUC